GGCAGAGGCGGCCUGGAGUCGAGCAUGUGGGGGCCGCGGUGAGGCGAGGGUAGCCCACCGAAGGGGGACAUCUCAAAGAGAAGCAGCAAGACCUGGGGAUCCGGUGGUUCAUUUUGGUCGUUGCCUGUGAGGCCAGCAUCCAAGAGUAAGAGGAAGCUAGGAGCAGUCUCAAAAAGAGAUGGAACCAAGGACAGCAAAUGCUGACGAAGAGAAGAGACGGACAAGCGUUUGCUUGUGGUUAAUACCGAAGGGACGGGAUGAAACAAGGAAGCCAGAAUGCAGCGGCCCCUCGAUAUCACCAGGAACUGCUACAGGAGGAGGCGUUCUGGCACGGGUAACUAAGCUCUCCGAGCUGAAUCCUAGCCCUGAAGGAAAAAGCACUGGGGGGAGGCUACUUGGACAUCUGCCACGUCGAGGGCAGGGGCAGGAGCUGACCCUUCCCCGACGGACGGACGGAC